CAUCGCCUCUUUGGCCAAUAUAAGAGGUUCAGCCUGCCCACUGACAUAGUUUAACGGCCGCGGUACCCUAACCGUGCGAAGGUAGCAUAAUCACUUGUUCUUUAAAUAAGGACUCGUAUCAACGGCAUCACGAGGACUAUACUGUCUCCUUUCUCCAAUCAGUGAAACUGAUCUCCCCGUGAAGAAGCGGGGAUUAACCUAUAAGACGAGAAGACCCCAUGGAGCUUAAAGCCCACAAACACCUCUACGCACUUAAACCAAUUUAGCCUAAGAGACCUGUAAGCCGGCUUUAGGUUGGGGGGACCGCGGAGAAAAACCUAACCUCCACGACAAACGGGCAAACGCCCUUAUCCAUGAAUUACAAUUCUAAGAAUCAAUAAACUGAUGUUUAAUGACCCGAUUAUUCGAUCAACGAACCAAGUUACCCUGGGGAUAACAGCGCAAUCUACUUUAAGAGCUCAUAUCGACAAGUAGGUUUACGACCUCGAUGUUGGAUCAGGGUAUCCCAGUGGUGUAGCCGCUACUAAAGG
rnacentral:rRNA from 1 species